UCCCCUGUAGCUCAGCUGGUAGAGCGUCGGACUGUUAAUCCGCAGGUCGCUGGUUCGAAUCCAGCCGGGGGAGCCA
rnacentral:tRNA from 1 species